AGAGUUUGAUCAUGGCUCAGAGCGAACGCUGGCGGCGUGCUUAACACAUGCAAGUCGAACGGCCCUCGGGUAGCAAUACUCGAGGGUAGUGGCGAACGGGUGAGUAACACGUGGGUCAUCUCCCCCCGAGUGAGGAAUAAGCCUGCGAAAGCGGGUCUAAUACCGCAUGACACUCCGGGACAUAAGUCUUCGGAGUCAAAAGCCGUAAGGCGCUUGGGGAUGAGCCUGCGUCCUAUUAGCUAGUUGGUAGGGUAAUGCCUACCAAGGCGAUGAUGGGUAGCCGGCCUGAGAGGGUGAACGGCCACACUGGNNUGAGACCGGCCCAGACUCCUACGGGAGGCAGCAGUGAGGAAUUUUGCGCAAUGGGCGAAACCUGNNGCAGCGACGCCGCGUGGAGGAAGACGGCCUUCGGGUUGUAAACUCCUGUCAGAGGUGAAGAAUGCCCGCAAGGGUUUGACGGUAACCUCAGAGGAAGCCCCGGCUAACUACGUGCCAGCAGCCGCGGUAAUACGUAGGGGGCGAGCGUUGCUCGGAAUUACUGGGCGUAAAGGGUGUGUAGGCGGCUGGAUAAGUCACGAUGAAAUCCCGAAGCUCAACUUCGGAAUGGUCUUUGAUACUGUCCGGCUUGAGGCUGGUUGAGGAGAGCGGAAUUCCCGGUGGAGCGGAAAUGCGUAGAUAUCGGGAGGAACACCAGAGGCGAAGGCGGCUCUCUAAACUCGUCCUGACGCUGAAACACGAAAGCUAGGGGAGCAAACGGGAUUAGAUACCCUAGUAGUCC
rnacentral:rRNA from 1 species